rnacentral:rRNA from 1 species
UACGUAGGGUCCGAGCGUUGUCCGGAAUUACUGGGCGUAAAGAGCUCGUAGGUGGUUUGUCGCGUUGUUCGUGAAAACUCACAGCUCAACUGUGGGCGUGCGGGCGAUACGGGCAGACUUGAGUACUGCAGGGGAGACUGGAAUUCCUGGUGUAGCGGUGGAAUGCGCAGAUAUCAGGAGGAACACCGGUGGCGAAGGCGGGUCUCUGGGCAGUAACUGACGCUGGAGGUGCGAAAGCGUGGGGAGCAAACAGG